rnacentral:rRNA from 1 species
AACGAACGCUGGCGGCAUGCCUAACACAUGCAAGUCGAACGAGACCUUCGGGUCUAGUGGCGCACGGGUGCGUAACGCGUGGGAACCUGCCCUUAGGUUCGGAAUACCUCCCCGAAAGGGGUGCUAAUACCGGAUAAUGUCUACGGACCAAAGAUUUAUCGCCUUUGGAUGGGCCCGCGUUGGAUUAGCUAGUUGGUAGGGUAAAAGCCUACCAAGGCGACGAUCCAUAGCUGGUCUGAGAGGAUGAUCAGCCACACUGGGACUGAGACACGGCCCAGACUCCUACGGGAGGCAGCAGUGGGGAAUAUUGGACAAUGGGCGAAAGCCUGAUCCAGCAAUGCCGCGUGAGUGAUGAAGGCCGUAGGGUUGUAAAGCUCUUUUACCCGGGAUGAUAAUGACAGUACCGGGAGAAUAAGCUCCGGCUAACUCCGUG